GGCCUCACUUCUGUAGCACUUAUAACAACAGUGGAAUAUUACAGAGAAGAUUAGCAUAGCUCCUGUGCAAAAAUGACUUACAAAUUUGUAAAGUUGCCAUGUUUUU